rnacentral:rRNA from 1 species
CCUACGGGAGGCAGCAGUGGGGAAUAUUGGGCAAUGGGCGCAAGCCUGACCCAGCAACGCCGCGUGAAGGAAGAAGGCUCUCGGGUUGUAAAAUUCUUUUCUGAGGGACGAAGAAAGUGACGGUACCUCAGGAAUAAGCCACGGCUACCUCAGUGCCAGCAGCCGCGGUAAUACGUAGGUGGCAAGCGUUAUACGGAUUUAUUGGGUGUAAAGGGCGUGUAGGCGGGAUAGCAAGUCAGAUGUGAAAACGCAGGGCUCAACCCUGGGCCUGCAUUUGAAACUGUUUUGCUUGAGUGCUGGAGAGGCAAGCGGAAUUCCGGGUGGAGCGGUGAAAUGCGUAGAUAUACGGAGGAACCCCAGUGGCGAAGGCGGAUUGCUGGACAGUAACUGACGCUGAGGCGCGAAAGCGUGGGGAGCAAACAGGAUUAGAUACCCCGGUAGUC